rnacentral:tRNA from 1 species
UGUCCAGGGGCGGGAAUCGAACCCACAACCUUCCGCUUACCGGGCAGAUGCCAUGUCCACUAGGCUACCUGGAC